rnacentral:rRNA from 1 species
CCUCACCCGGCCCGGACACGGACAGGAUUGACAGAUUGAUAGCUCUUUCUCGAUUCCGUGGGUGGUGGUGCAUGGCCGUUCUUAGUUGGUGGAGCGAUUUGUCUGGUUAAUUCCGAUAACGAACGAGACUCUGGCAUGCUAACUAGUUACGCGACCCCCGAGCGGUCGGCGUCCCCCAACUUCUUAGAGGGACAAGUGGCGUUCAGCCACCCGAGAUUGAGCAAUAACAGGUCUGUGAUGCCCUUAGAUGUCCGGGGCUGCACGCGCGCUACACUGACUGGCUCAGCGUGUGCCUACCCUACGCCGGCAGGCGCGGGUAACCCGUUGAACCCCAUUCGUGAUGGGGAUCGGGGAUUGCAAUUAUUCCCCAUGAACGAGGAAUUCCCAGUAAGUGCGGGUCAUAAGCUUGCGUUGAUUAAGUCCCUGCCCUUUG